CACUAUUUUCUCAGAUUCCUACACUCCCUAGGUAGAGAUGUGAAAAUCUCUGUGAUUAGUGAUUUCUAGUGGGUGGUGUGGUCUCACCGACUGGCUCACCACCUCACCUAACAGUUAUUGGUGAUGGAUCAACCGAUGAGUGGACAACUCUUGUCCAAUGAUUCUCUAAUCAUGGUGCACCCAAAACUUGGUCUCUAAUUCAUGAAGCUCACCGUGCCCGGAAUAUUGCUCCAAUCCUUAGUUAAAUCAGACC
rnacentral:lncRNA from 1 species